GUACAAAACUUGUGACUUUGUUUCCCCCUCCCCUUUUUUUUUUUUUUUUUUUUUUUGAGAUGGAGUCUCACCCUGCUGCCCAGACUGGAGUGCAGCGGCACAAUCUCAGCUCACUGCAAGAGAAUAAGAGCUCACAAUGGAAAGUCACAUUACUGUACAAGCCAAUAACUAAAAUCCUAACCUACAUUCUAGUCUAGAACACUCCAGAACCAUGUCUCAAUACCAAGAGUACUUCAGAACACAAUUUUAAAUGCACUUGGGGAUCAGCAGGAAUCCUACAACUGCACAAUGGUUAACAUAUCAGAUCAUAAAUGGCUAGCGGGUUUUUUUUGUUUGUUUGUCUAUUUUUG
rnacentral:lncRNA from 1 species